rnacentral:rRNA from 1 species
GGGGUAGUGGCCUACCAAGGCGACGACGGGUAGCCGGCCUGAGAGGUGACCGGCCACACUGGGACUGAGACACGGCCCAGACUCCUACGGGAGGCAGCAGUGGGGAAUAUUGCGCAAUGGGCGAAAGCCUGACGCAGCGACGCCGCGUGGGGGAUGACGGCCUUCGGGUUGUAAACCUCUUUCAGCAGGGACGAAGCGGAAGUGACGGUACCUGCAGAAGAAGCACCGGCCAACUACGUGCCAGCAGCCGCGGUAAUACGUAGGGUGCGAGCGUUGUCCGGAAUUACUGGGCGUAAAGAGCUCGUAGGCGGUUUGUCACGUCGUCUGUGAAAUCCUAGGGCUUAACCCUGGACGUGCAGGCGAUACGGGCUGACUUGAGUACUACAGGGGAGACUGGAAUUUCUGGUGUAGCGGUGGAAUGCACAGAUAUCAGGAAGAACACCGAUGGCGAAGGCAGGUCUCUGGGUAGUAACUGACGCUGAGGAGCGAAAGCAUGGGUAGCGAACAGGAUUAGAUACCCUGGUAGUCCAUGCCGUAAACGGUGGGCGCU